CCUACGGGAGGCAGCAGUGGGGAAUAUUGGACAAUGGGGGAAAGCCGGAUGCAGCAAAGCCGCGUGAGGGAAGAAGGAGUUCGGGAGGUAAAGCUCUAUUAGCAGGGAAGAAGAUGACGGUACCUGAAUAAGAAUCCCCGGCUACCACCGUCCCAGCAGCCGCGGUAAUACGUAGGGGGCAACCGUUAUCCGGAUUUACUGGGUGUAAAGGGAGCGGAGACGGCAGUGCAAGUCUGGAGUGAAAGCCCGGGGCCCAACCCCGGAACUGCUCUUGAAACUGUGCGGCUAGAGUACUGGAGGGGCAGGCGGAAUUCCUGGUGUAGCGGUGAAAUGCGUAGAUAUUAUGAGGAACACCAGUGGCGAAGGCGGCCUGCUGGACUGUAACUGACGUUGAGGCUCGAAAGCGUGGGGAGCAAACAGGAUUAGAUACCCCGGUAGUC
rnacentral:rRNA from 1 species